rnacentral:rRNA from 1 species
CUUGGUCAUUUAGAGGAAGUAAAAGUCGUAACAAGGUUUCCGUAGGUGAACCUGCGGAAGGAUCAUUAUUGAAUGAACUUGGUGUGGUUGUUGCUGGCCCUUCUCAGGGCAUGUGCACACCCACCAUCCUCAUCUCUCCACCUGUGCACCUCUUGUAGAUUUGGAUCUACGUUUUUCAUAUACCCCAUAGCAUGUAACAGAAUGUAUCAUUUGGGCGCUUGUGCCUAUAAACCUUAUACAACUUUCAGCAACGGAUCUCUUGGCUCUCGCAUCGAUGAAGAACGCAGCGAAAUGCGAUAAGUAAUGUGAAUUGCAGAAUUCAGUGAAUCAUCGAAUCUUUGAACGCACCUUGCGCUCCUUGGUAUUCCGAGGAGCAUGCCUGUUUGAGUGUCAUUAAAUUCUCAACCUUAUCAGUUGGAUGGGUGGGGGUUGCUGGCUCAGGUCAGCUCUCCUUAAAUGCAUUAGCUGGUGCGAUAUUGGUGUGAUAAUUAUCUACGCCAUGGAUUAGCACUGCUUCUAACGACACUACAUGACAAUUUGACCUCAAAUCAGGUAGGACUACCCGCUGAACUUAAGCAUAUCAAUAAGCGGAGGA